rnacentral:other from 1 species
GCUCCCCUGUGUUAUUCGUGAUAUGUGAACAUUAUUUGAGCCAACACCUUUUAGCUUGUGGAUGGUUACAUAAAUCCGGUGUGAACUUCCUUUAAGGGAAAGUCCUUAAGGAUUUAUGACCGUCAAUAAUUAAGAUUCAAGGUUCAAAGAAAGCACCUACACGGUAAUUUGGGGGGGAC